AUAUGUGCGACGAAUACUUAUGAUGGGAUAAUGGAAUAGGACCCUGUCCUCCUAUUUUCAGUUGGUUUUGGCAGCGCGAGGACUAGGGUAAUGAUUAAUAGGGAUAGUUGGGGGCAUUAAUAUUUAAUUGUCAGAGGUGAAAUUCUUGGAUUUAUGAAAGAUUAACUUCUGCGAAAGCAUCUGCCAAGGAUGUUUUCAUUAAUCAAGAACGAAAGUUAGGGGAUCGAAGACGAUCAGAUACCGUCGUAGUCUUAACCAUAAACGAUGCCGACCAGCGAUUAGGAGACGUUGAAUACAAAACACCACCAUCGGUGCGGUCGUCCUUGGCGUCUCGGUUUCGGCCGGGGCGCGGGGAUGGCUUAGCCCGGUGGCACCGGUGAAUGACUCCCUAGCAGCUUGUG
rnacentral:rRNA from 1 species